GGUCUUUCUGUGUGGCCUAGGCUGAUCUUGAUCUCGCAAUCCUCCUGCCUCAGCCUCUGCAGCAAAGCGUAAAGUUCUGAUGCAUGCAGUAGUGUGCAUGAACUCUGAGACAUCAUGCCAAGAGGAACAAGCCAUACGCAAAGGACCACGUAGUGUAUGGUUCCAUUUAUAGGAAAUGCCCAAACCGAGCAAAGCCAUGGGACAGAUAGGUGUUGAGUUGGCACCUAGUUAACGUGCUGGUGGUAUAACACGUGGAGAUACACAAGCUUUCGAUGGGACUUUACACAUGUACACACAGAAAAGGAGGAGAGAAAGCAGAAUUCUGUCUUCAAUUAGCUUGGUGGACAGACAGCCUGUGUGCUCCUUUCUGAGAGAUUCAGGUUAAAACUGGAGUCAGACCAUCUGUGUUCAAAUCCCAGCUGGGCUGCUCCUCACUUUGUACUUUUCCCAGGCUUGUUGUAUGGCUGAAAUGUGGCAGUGCCGGGAGAGGCCUGAGGAGGGCAGGACAUGUGAGUCCAGAGCCCCAGUGUGCUACAAGAGAACAGUGCUCAGUCAUCUACAGUAUCCAACCCCCUGCUGUGGGGGCAGCUCAGGCAGAGGUCUUUAUGCCUCUUUGCAAAUGGAUCAUUGUGAUAAUGUAACUGCAGCUCUGCAGGAGAUAAACACAGAAGUUCAGACAGUACAACACAUGUCUCGGGACCCCUUGCAGAGUUUGUGGGAUUCACCGACGUCCACUAUUCUGUCUUGGACUCUUCCCUUUACAGUGCUUGUUCUCCUCUUUUCACUCCCCUGCUUAUUAUUGCCAUGCCUAAUCUGCUUCAAAGAUUUCUCACCAACAGGACUGUGGCCAUUUCAUAGGCAGUUACCAAAGACCACAUCCAUACAGCCCUCCUUCAGUCCAGCCGAGACCUCACAAUCUUGCUUCUAGUUGGCAGGAAGUAGUUCAGGAAGAAAUGUGCUGCCCAUUUUCCUUAUCUAAUAGAGUCUAGCACGAAGGAAUGCAACUGCAGCCAUCCUGAUCAGAGACCCCUCUAAACUACCCCUCCCUGCUCAGCUGCACCUGAAGACUCAACACUGUCAGCCCUGCUACUGAUAGCCGCUGCUACUCCCUGUGCUUUCCCAAGUCUUGUCCUUGGGCAACCAUUACUACUCUCUCAAGCCUCUGUGCUCUCUCAAGCCUUGUUCUUGGCAGGUACCCACAACCCCCUCUCACUGAGCUCCUCCCUCCGCAUGAGAGUUAGGGUCUGGUCUCUAGUGCCAGAGUGGUCCCCUUCAGGUUUGUUCUGCAAUAAAUCUGUCCAGUUGAGCUCGU
rnacentral:lncRNA from 1 species